CCUAAUGUGGCUAAAAGAAAUAUGAAACAAUCUUGGAUUUUCGAUCAUGAACAGCAAAACCUUGCAAAUAUGGAUGUAAUGGGCACUUUCAUGCCCCAGCUACUGUGUUAUGGCCAACUUGAAUCAAUUACCAGACUUUACAAUCUGUAGCCAAGCUUGGGAGGUCUGGGGCCAGAUUCAAUGAUGACAUAUAUAUAUAUAUAUGUGGUGGUGAACAAACACCAGAGAGAUAUCAACUUGGCAUGCUAAUCAAAGAAACUUCACCAAUUCUUCUUUUGGGAUGCCACGUUGAUGGGCUGCUCCUCUACCAAGUAAUCAUAAGUUGUAAGUUCUCUUCACUCAAGCUAGUGUUUUUAUUUUAUUUA